GAGUUUGAUCCUGGCUCAGAUUGAACGCUGGCGGCAUGCCUUACACAUGCAAGUCGAACGGCAGCACGGGAGCUUGCUCCUGGUGGGCGAGUGGCGAACGGGUGAGUAAUGCAUCGGAACGUAUCCUGGAGUGGGGGAUAACGUUUCGAAAGGAACGCUAAUACCGCAUACGUCCUACGGGAGAAAGCAGGGGGACCUUCGGGCCUUGCGCUAUCAGAUGAGCCUAGGUCGGAUUAGCUAGUUGGUGGGUAAUGGCUCACCAAGGCGACGAUCCGUAACUGGUCUGAGAGGAUGAUCAGUCACACUGGAACUGAGACACGGUCCAGACUCUACGGGAGGCAGCAGUGGGGAAUAUUGGACAAUGGGCGAAAGCCUGAUCCAGCCAUGCCGCGUAUGUGAAG
rnacentral:rRNA from 1 species